AGGACGAACGCUGGCGGCGUGCUUAACACAUGCAAGUCGAACGGAAAGGCCCUUCGGGGUACUCGAGUGGCGAACGGGUGAGUAACACGUGGGUGAUCUGCCCUGCACUUCGGGAUAAGCCUGGGAAACUGGGUCUAAUACCGGAUACACCUCAUGGGCUGCAUGGUCUGUGGGGGAAAGCUUUUGCGGUGUGGGAUGGGCCCGCGGCCUAUCAGCUUGUUGGUGGGGUGAUGGCCUACCAAGGCGACGACGGGUAGCCGGCCUGAGAGGGUGACCGGCCACACUGGGACUGAGAUACGGCCCAGACUCCUACGGGAGGCAGCAGUGGGGAAUAUUGCACAAUGGGCGCAAGCCUGAUGCAGCGACGCCGCGUGAGGGAUGACGGCCUUCGGGUUGUAACCUCUUUCAGCAGGGACGAAGCGAAGUGACGGUACCUGCAGAAGAAGGACCGGCCAACUACGCGCCAGCAGCCGC
rnacentral:rRNA from 1 species